GACCCCAGAGGCCUCUCAGUGGCGGUGGAAGAUCAUUCCAGCAGCGUGUCGCGGCAAAUUUAAAACUGCCCCUGAAAGCCACCGUCCUGUGCUGCGGUAUUCUUAACGGGUCGACAUCUGUACGGAGACCAGACUCGUAUCGAGUUUGACGCCAGAUCCUCGUUAACCCUCCGCACCGCCACGGCAGUAUCAUCCCCCCUGAAGGCUGUGUACAGCUGGAUGUCAUCCGCGUACAUAUGGUACUUACAGUUAAAAAAGGAUCCGGCAAUGUCAGCACUGUAGAGAAUGUACAGUAACGGCCCAAGUAUCGAUCCCUGUGGGACUCCUCUGGACACCUGUAGCGGAGCCGAUGACACAGUAGAUCCAUCAUCCCUACGAAUAUGCACACUCUGUGUUCUAUCAGUCAGAUAACUUCUGAACCAUUCUACGGCACCCCUGUCAAAGCCAUAGUAUGCCAACUUGGAUAGAAGCAGAUUGGUGUUAAUAGCGUCAAAAGCUCGCGAAAAAUCCAAUAGAACCAGAAUAGCGCCCUCACCUCGAUCGCGCGCCUCUAGAAUGUUUCCCACUACAUCCAAGAGUGCGGUUGCAGUGCCUCGUCCCCCACGGAACCCCGACUGAAGGUCAGGGAGAAUUUCGUUAGACUCAAGAUAUUCAAUCACCUGCAAGUACACCACUCGCUCCAAAAUCUUAGACAGGCAGGGAAGAAUGCUGAUCGGUCUAAGGUCCUUCACAGUAACCGGAUCGCUAACUUUUGGUAUAGGGCGCACUAUAGCACGUCGCCAGAGUCCGGGGAAUGUGCGCGACUCUAUAGAUCUAUUAAUGAUAUCAGUUACUGUUUGUAAUGUGUUUGUCAAUGUGAGCGUUAUCAUAUCCAGACUGAUACCAUCGACUCCCUGCGCGUUCGACCUCAGACUUCUAAUUAUGCUCAGAACUGUCUCCUGGUUAGUUGUUCUUAGCGAGAAUUCAGCUGAGCCAUGUUUAUGAGUACCAAAGUGAGCCAUUAGUGUAAAGUUGUCAUUGCCAUUUCCCGGGACAUCCAAAAAAGCUCUGUUGAUGGUAUCCGGAUUAUCA